UGGGGAAUAUUGGACAAUGGGCGAAAGCCUGAUCCAGCCAUGCCGCGUGUGUGAAGAAGGUCUUCGGAUUGUAAAGCACUUUAAGUUGGGAGGAAGGGCAGUAAGCGAAUACCUUGCUGUUUUGACGUUACCGACAGAAUAAGCACCGGCUAACUCUGUGCCAGCAGCCGCGGUAAUACAGGGGGUGCAAGCGUUAAUCGGAAUUACUGGGCGUAAAGCGCGCGUAGGUGGUUCGUUAAGUUGAAUGUGAAAGCCCCGGGCUCAACCUGAGAACUGCAUCCAAAACUGGCGAGCUAGAGUAGGGCAGAGGGUAGUGGAAUUUCCUGUGUAGCGGUGAAAUGCGUAGAUAUAGGAAGGAACACCAGUGGCGAAGGCGACCACCUGGGCUCAUACUGACACUGAGGUGCGAAAGCGUGGGGAGCAAACAGG
rnacentral:rRNA from 1 species